GUGAGGAAUAUUGGGCAAUGGGCGCAAGCCUGACCCAGCAACGCCGCGUGGAGGAAGACGGCCUUCGGGUUGUAAACUCCUUUUACGGGGGAAGAGGAAGGACGGUACCCCGAGAAUAAGUCACGGCUAACUACGUGCCAGCAGCCGCGGUAAUACGUAGGUGACAAGCGUUAUCCGGAAUUACUGGGCGUAAAGCGCACGCAGGCGGCGCGUUAAGUCUGACGUGAAAUCUCCCGGCUUAACUGGGAGGGGUCGUUGGAGACUGGCGUGCUUGAGGCGAUGAGAGGGGUGUAGAAUUCCCGGUGUAGUGGUGGAAUGCGUAGAUAUCGGGAGGAAUACCAGUGGCGAAAGCGGCACCCUGGCAUUAGCCUGACGCUCAUGUGCGAAGGCGUGGGGAGCGAACGGGAUUAGAAACCCCGGUAGUCC
rnacentral:rRNA from 1 species